rnacentral:snRNA from 14 species
UUACAUUUGGCAGCACAUGUGCUAACAUUGGAAUGACACAGUGAGGAUAAGCCUGGGUCCUGUGCAAGGAUGACAUGAAAACACAGCAUGAGAAACAUCAAAGAACA